rnacentral:rRNA from 1 species
AGUGAACGCUGGCGGUAGGCCUAACACAUGCAAGUCGAACGGCAGCACAGUAAGAGCUUGCUCUUACGGGUGGCGAGUGGCGGACGGGUGAGGAAUACAUCGGAAUCUACUUUUUCGUGGGGGAUAACGUAGGGAAACUUACGCUAAUACCGCAUACGACCUACGGGUGAAAGCAGGGGAUCUUCGGACCUUGCGCGAUUGAAUGAGCCGGUGUCGGAUUAGCUAGUUGGCGGGGUAAAGGCCCACCAAGGCGACGAUCCGUAGCUGGUCUGAGAGGAUGAUCAGCCACACUGAAACUGAGACACGGUCCAGACUCCUACGGGAGGCAGCAGUGGGGAAUAUUGGACAAUGGGCGAAAGCCUGAUCCAGCCAUACCGCGUGGGUGAAGAAGGCCUGCGGGUUGUAAAGCCCUUUUGUUGGGAAAGAAAAGCAGCAGGUUAAUACCCCGCUGUUCUGACGGUACCCAAAGAAUAAGCACCGGCUAACUUCGU